GGUCUCGUAGCUCAGCUGGAUAGAGCAACAGCCUUCUAAGCUGUCGGUCGUGGGUUCGAAUCCCGCCGGGAUCA
rnacentral:tRNA from 1 species